CCCUUUUAUGAAUGGGGGGCUGGAGGAAGACUGGCUGCGAGCCGCGGAGAACGGAUACGGCUCUCGCUCGCUGUUUGCGUGUCCCCCCUCCCCCCCCUUCAUUUAUUUAUUUAUUUUUCUGUGAAUGGAGGGCAGGCGGUGACAGCUGCGCACGUACCGCGCCCUCUGCCCGGCCUGAAGCCAGCAGCCCUAAUGCUGUGAAUACCCGCAGCUGCUGCAGCUCUGCCUGCUGGAUGGUGCAGUAACGUGGAACCUUAACAACAGGAAGAAAAAAACUUUACCGUGGCUGCCCUAAAAACUCCACCAGACACAUUCAAGAAUCCCUCCUCAGAAAAGCAAAUGACUUCCCACAGCCUAAAGUAAGGUGCUGGUUACCUGCUGGCGUUUAUCCCCCUCUGCUUGCAGCUGCCCUGGCUGAGCGCAGCAGGAGAGCCUGGAGUGAUGGGGCAUCACUGCUGGGAUGGGGCUGCUGCACGGCACAGGUGGGGCUGUUCCAGGUGCCUGGUUUGCAGGCACAGAGCCGUGGCACCUGGCGGGACUGCUUCAGAGCUACAAAGUGCUCCUGCUGCCUCUGCCUGUGACAAUUCAUGUGAGCCAUCCUCCAUCCGUGCAGGGAGGGUGGUGAGGUGCUGGCAGUGCUGUCCAGAGCUGUGCUGCCCCAUCCCUGGAGAUGCCCAAGGCCAUGGAUGGGCCCUGGUCAGCCUGAGCUGGGGGGCAACCAGCCCAUGUUGGGGGUGGGGCUGGGGGUGCUGCAAGGGCCCUUCUAACCUGGGUUGGAUUCGGAUGAUGCCUUCCAACCCAGGCCAUUCUAUGACUCUAUCAUCUGCCUCCGUAAGUUUACAGCUCCGUGUUGGUUAUUUCCAGCACCACAGGCAGUUCUUCACGUGGGAGUUGCAGCAGGUCCUUCCAAAGAGUGACAUGUUUUUUUCCCAUGAAGAGACUUCCACACAGGAUCACUCCGUAGCUCAUUAAGGUCAUUACAAAUGUUUAUUUUUAGGCAGAUGGAUGCUUUAACCAGAAUUGUAAUCCAGUCAUAGCUAAGUGCAGGAACAAGUCAGAAUUUGGGUUUUACUGUAAUGGUUAUGAAUGUUUCACUGUGUCUUCAGCAUAAGGGAUCCCAUUGUGCAUAUUUAGGAUGUCUGCAGCUUUUACGUGGUUUCGUCUACAUUUCUCAGGAUUUAAUAUUUGAAGUUCCUUCUAGGGAUGUAUUAGAGGAAAAGCUGGAUUUGAACUCCAGUCAGAAAGUUUUCACAUAUUCAGAAUUACACAGUGCUUAUAAAAGCAGUUCGCUUCUGUGGGGUAUGGUUAAUCCAUCUAUCUCCUGGCAUGGGGCACUCAUCCCAUUCCACAGGGCUGGGAUGGGAGCGGGGCCGUGGUUAGCGUCCUCCCAGCCACCCGGGGCUGUCCAGCCUAAGCCCUUCCUUCCUGCCCCGAGUGGAAUUAUCAUUAACUCAUAACUUGUUUUCAAGAAGAACAUUUUUUUUUUUUUUGUAGACUGUGGAGUUCUUCCAAGAAUUUUUCAAUUUCCACAGAUGAAAAUAUAGUCUAAACCAGAUGCCAGCUGAAACGCACUCACUUCGUACCACCUCGCCAAGGCAGCGCGCCACGGGCUCAGCAAUGUGACCUUUAAAAUAGCCUUUCUAGAACACACUGCUAAGAGCACUUUCUAAAAAGCCACAAUUGCAGCUACUCUUAUUACUCAUAAUGUCUUUGAUGGAGAGGAAUACUCAGGGAACUUCAGCUUCAGCAACCCGGUAGAGUCAGUUCUGUGCAGCGGAGGCUUCCUUCGUGGCAUUACAGACUUGAGACCACGAUGAGAGCGUUGGUGAUAAUGAACAUUUCCUAAAGCAUUACUUGUAUAAGAUUAAAAUGAAAUAAAAGCAGUGAAACCUUUGCUUUGCCCAUGUGAAAGAAUGGCUCUGCCACUUAGCCAUUCGUUCCUAGAAGUGGAUACGUAUACCUGUGCCUUCUCCAUGUAUUUGUAAGUCUAACAAAUACUAUACACACAAAUAUACACCAAUGUUAUGCAAAAUGCAUUCAGGCAAUGUAUUUCAAAUCAAUGAAUAUUUUGAGUCAUCAGCCUAAAUGGUGUUUGUAGAUGCAUAAUUGCACGCUACUUUCUGGGAUUUUUUGUAGUAUUCUGAGUGGCGUUGAGCCGCCACUUCAUUAAAACUGUCCCUUGGGAUCCAAUUCUUUGGGUUUGUUUUUGCAUGUGCCAGGAAAUUCGGACCCUGAUUUCUGUAUGGCCACCACUGCCAUGCUGGUGCACUGCCGGCCGGCGGCACUGUGUGGCACUGCAUGGCCCUGGUGGGCACAGGGAGCAGAAUAACAUGAGAUCCAGUUUGCUUUGGUCGGUCCAGGAGAGACUUCACAGCAGCAGUGAUGGGACACUUUAGAGUUGGCUGAGUGGAGUUUUCCUAUCAUUUCUGAACCUUCUGUCCUUAAACUGAUUCAACUAAAUAUGUGACAUUUUGAGGAAAACUUGCCCUGUGUCUUUAGCUUCUUUCAUACCAGACAGGGUGGGAACAAGAUAAGUUUGCCUUAAAAGCCUUUGUUUUCACUCACUUCUCUACUUGCUUGGUGUCCCAACACACUGGUAUUCAGAUUUGUCACCUCACAGGGCCUUGGUUCUGCCAGAACUCCUGCCUCUGGCUACCAGCAGUGGGAUAUUGAAGGGUUUGAGCUGCAGUCAUCAAGCAGCAACAAACUUACUGCUUUAAUCAGCUCCUUUCCAUGCGAGAUACAACUUGCUGAGCUCCGUGGUUCCUAGAGGUAAUGCCUCAUUUCCAAAAACUCCUGUUUCUGACCAUUGCUGUGGUUUCCCUGGAGUGGGACAGCCAUCCUUGCUCAGUCCCUGCCCCAUCAUUGCCCUGCCCAGCAAUACAGGGCCAGAAGCCCCACUCCCACUUCUCCUUGCACAGCCUUUGGUGGCUCAUGGGACUGCGCUGGCACUGCUGCUCUGUGCCAUGUGGUGACAGGGCUGUUAUUCCAGAGCAACCGGAUGGGGACCACCAAUUUAGUUCUCACAGACCAUGGCUUCUGGCUCUUCGAGAGCAUUGUUUUGACACUGGCAGGAAAAAAUUAGGCCAUUGUCUUUGCUCCCAUGAAAUUUCCUGUCCUCUCUUUAUGAGGUGUGUGGCUGCACAAAGUGCCUUUCUGCUCCCGCAGCAGCGAAUCUUGACACCCACAGCUUGGGCUGGUGUCCCAGGGUGGGUUUUCUUUCCGGGUUGAUUUGGGAUUUUUGCCCACGGAAAAUGAAUGAAUGAACAAAUAAUUUGCAGCUGUCCGAAUGGCCGUAACAUCUCCGCGCUCUGCCCAGAGCUCUGGAAAUGGAUAUCAGAGCUGCUCAGGGCUUUGAUGCAGCCUCUGCACCUGGCCUAUGCUCUGGGUCUGGCAUAUCCCUGUGUGCUGUCACUGCCCUAACGCAGUGCAGUCAAGGCUCUGGUAUCCUCUGUUCAAAUAACUCAUCUUCUGCAGUGUGCACACUAUGCAACUCAGCAUUCCCUGUUUGAUAAUGAAGGUCAAACCCAAAAGCAACUGGUCAAUUUUGGUCUCAUCCUUUUUAUUCCUAACAAAGAAGCAGCAGUACCUGCAGGCCCAGAGCGUGGUGUAA
ensembl:lncRNA